AUUGAACGCUGGCGGAAUGCUUUACACAUGCAAGUCGAACGGCAGCACGGACUUCGGUCUGGUGGCGAGUGGCGAACGGGUGAGUAAUGUAUCGGAACGUGCCCAGUCGUGGGGGAUAACGUAGUGAAAAUUACGCUAAUACCGCAUACGAUCUAUGGAUGAAAGCGGGGGAUCGCAAGACCUCGCGCGAUUGGAGCGGCCGAUAUCAGAUUAGGUAGUUGGUGGGGUAAAGGCCCACCAAGCCAACGAUCUGUAGCUGGUCUGAGAGGACGACCAGCCACACUGGAACUGAGACACGGUCCAGACUCCUACAGGAGGCAGCAGUGGGGAAUUUUGGACAAUGGGCGAAAGCCUGAUCCAGCCAUUCCGCGUGCAGGAUGAAGGCCCUCGGGUUGUAAACUGCUUUUGUACAGAACGAAAAGGUUUCUACUAAUACUAGGAGCUCAUGACGGUACUGUAAGAAUAAGCGCCGGCUAACUACGUGCCAGCCGCCGCGGUAA
rnacentral:rRNA from 1 species